GACGAACGCUGGCGGCGUGCCUAAUACAUGCAAGUUGAGCGAUGAAGAUUGGUGCUUGCACCAAUUUGAAGAGCAGCGAACGGGUGAGUAACGCGUGGGGAAUCUGCCUUUGAGCGGGGGACAACAUUUGGAAACGAAUGCUAAUACCGCAUAACAACUUUAAACAUAAGUUUUAAGUUUGAAAGAUGCAAUUGCAUCACUCAAAGAUGAUCCCGCGUUGUAUUAGCUAGUUGGUGAGGUAAAGGCUCACCAAGGCGAUGAUACAUAGCCGACCUGAGAGGGUGAUCGGCCACAUUGGGACUGAGACACGGCCCAAACUCCUACGGGAGGCAGCAGUAGGGAAUCUUCGGCAAAGGACGAAAGUCUGACCGAGCAACGCCGCGUGAGUGAAGAAGGUUUUCGGAUCGUAAAACUCUGUUGGUAGAGAAGAACGUUGGUGAGAGUGGAAAGCUCAUCAAGUGACGGUAACUACCCAGAAAGGGACGGCUAACUACGU
rnacentral:rRNA from 1 species